UACGUAGGGUGCGAGCGUUAAUCGGAAUUACUGGGCGUAAAGCGUGCGCAGGCGGUUCGUUGUGUCUGAUGUGAAAGCCCCGGGCUUAACCUGGGAAUGGCAUUGGAAACUGGCGAGCUGGAGUGUGGCAGAGGGGGGUGGAAUUCCGCGUGUAGCAGUGAAAUGCGUAGAGAUGCGGAGGAACACCGAUGGCGAUGGCAGCCCCCUGGGCUGACACUGACGCUCAGGCACGAAAGCGUGGGGAGCAAACAGG
rnacentral:rRNA from 1 species